CAACAGCUCAGCCACGUUCAACUCCACUGAGAGGGUCCUGCAGAGCCUGCUGGAUCCUUGUUGAAGAAGAGCAGCCUGGGCCCCUUCUCCUUGAGUGGCAGACUGGUCUCCCUCAGGUCUGAGAAGGAUGGGGCAGCCACCAGUGUGGACGCUGUCUUCACCCACCACCCUGACCCCGUG